rnacentral:rRNA from 1 species
AUUGAACGCUGGCGGCAUGCUUUACACAUGCAAGUCGAACGGUAACACGCCGCCUGGUGCGGGUGCGCGGGGGACGGGCGGGUAAUGCAUCCGAACGUGCCCAGCCGUUGGGGAUAACUAAUCGUAAGAGAACCUAAUACCGCACACGAUCUAUGGACGAAAGCCAGGGAGGGGAAUGCCCCGCUCGAUCGGUGCGGCCGAUGUCAGAUUAGGUAGAUGGUGGGGUAAGGGCACACCAAGUCAACGAGCUGUAGAUGGAGUGAGAGGACGAGCGGCCACACGGGGACUGAGACACGGCCAAGAGUCCUACGGGAGGGAGCAGUGGGGAAUGUUGGACAAUGGGCGCAAGCCUGAUCCAGCAAUGCCGCGUGCAGGACGAAGGCCUUCGGGUUGGAAACUGGUUUUGUGCGGAACGAAACGCUUCUGGUUAAUACGCGGGGCUAGUGACGGUACCGGAAGAAUAAGCACCGGCUAACUACGUG